rnacentral:rRNA from 1 species
GAUGAACGCUGGCGGUAUGCUUAACACAUGCAAGUCGAACGGACUCUUCGGAGUUAGUGGCGGACGGGUGAGUAACGCGUGAGAAUCUGGCUUUGGGUUCGGGACAACCACUGGAAACGGUGGCUAAUACCGGAUGUGCCGAGAGGUAAAAGAGAAAUUGCCUGAAGAUGAGCUCGCGUCUGAUUAGCUAGUUGGUGAGGUAAAGGCUCACCAAGGCAGCGAUCAGUAGCUGGUCUGAGGGGAUGACCAGCCACACUGGGACUGAGACACGGCCCAGACUCCUACGGGAGGCAGCAGUGGGGAAUUUUCCGCAAUGGGCGAAAGCCUGACGGAGCAAUACCGCGUGAGGGAAGAAGGCUCUUGGGUUGUAAACCUCUUUUCUUAGGGAAGAACAAAAUGACGGUACCUAAGGAAUCAGCAUCGGCUAACUCCGUG